CACGUAAGUUGCGAGCGUUGUUCGGAAUUAUUGGGCGUAAAGGGCAUGUAGGCGGUCAUGCAAGUCUGGUGUGAAAUGCCGGGGCUCAACCCCGGAACUGCGUUGGAAACUGCGUGACUGGAGUCACUGAGGGGCAGGCAGAAUUCCAGGUGUAGGGGUGAAAUCUGUAGAUAUCUGGAAGAAUACCAAUGGCGAAGGCAGCCUGCCAGCAGAUGACUGACGCUGAGGUGCGAAGGUGCGGGGAGCAAAC
rnacentral:rRNA from 1 species